rnacentral:rRNA from 1 species
AUGGCUAAAGGCGGCAAGGCCAAAAAAGGCCCGGCGAGCGGCGGUCAGCCACCGCCUCAGAUAAGCCACCUUGUUCUGUUUCAAGGUGAGGCCUACGAGCUCCUGUCAAGCUACACAACAACGCAUCCUGCCCGUGUGGACACCGACCAACCGGUCGGCCAGUCAGCAGUCCCCGCCAAGGAACCAGAGCAGCUCGGCCCCUCGACGCGACGCCUCGUCUUUUCUCUGGCGGAUGCUCUAGACGACCUGGUUAACUCCGCCAUCUGCUUGGAGAAGCUCGAGGACACUCGAGUCGCCGUUACGCCUGAUGGCCGGAUAAAGUUUGUCGAAGCCAUUUUCGUGGAGAGAAAGGAUCUGCCCAGCCUAAGGGAGUUCAAGAUCAGGGUGGCAGAGAAUUACAACGACCUCGCCGGCAUAAUCACCCGCUACUUGUCUCCCGUGUCGCACUGCAUCCCGGCGGAGGUCACGCAUCUGCUCUACUUGAUGAGGAACAGAGCGUGGGAGAUGAGGUAUCUGAUCACCUACCACUCUGCCACAGUGCCUCUGGGGAACCGGUCGGACCUCUUUCUCAUAAUGCAUAGCUAUGUGUGGGAGGUGCUGAGAAAGACUGACCCUGGGGGGUAUGAGUAUGUCAUGGCAAGUCUUGAGUAUGAUCCUGAUUGGAGGAAUGCGGUCGUUAAUAACGAGCAUUUGCAGAAGUACUACUAUGCAGACGGAGGCGGGUUAUAUGAGAGCAAUGCACAGCUGCAGGGAGACGAGCAUCGCCAAGUGAUGAGGUUCAAUCAUGAUGGCCAGAGUCACCCUCUCGAGCAUGCCGCCGACUCAUCAGCACCAAGUGGGAUGCUUUACAAUCCGGUGCAAUUGGGCCACAUGUAUCACGCCAACUUCGCACGGCUUACAUACUCGAUGCAAGCAGCCCUGCAUGCCAUUGAUCGCCUCAGGUGUGUUGGGAUCAAGUCUCUCUUCUCCAACGAUUCAAAGGAGUAUCAAGAGAUACGGUAG